rnacentral:rRNA from 1 species
GAGUGGCGAACGGGUGAGUAACACAUCGGAACGUACCCAGUUGUGGGGGAUAACCAGUCGAAAGACUGGCUAAUACCGCAUGAUCUGGCGACAGCGGGGGAUCGCAAGGCGCGAUUGGAGCGGCCGAUGUCCGAUUAGCUAGUUGGUGGGGUAAAGGCCCACCAAGGCUUUGAUCGGUAGCUGGUCUGAGAGGAUGAUCAGCCACACUGGGACUGAGACACGGCCCAGACUCCUACGGGAGGCAGCAGUAGGGAAUCUUGCGCAAUGGGGGAAACCCUGACGCAGCCAUGCCGCGUGAAUGAUGAAGGUCUUAGGAUUGUAAAAUUCUUUCAGCGGGGAAGAUAAUGACUGUACCCGCAGAAGAAGCUCCGGCUAACUUCGUGCCAGCAGCCGCGGUAAUACGAAGGGGGCUAGCGUUGCUCGGAAUUACUGGGCGUAAAGGGCGCGUAGGCGGGUGUUUAAGUCAGAGGUCAAAUCCCAGGGCUCAACCCUGGAACUGCCUUUGAUACUGGGCACCUAGAGUACGGGAGAGGUGUGUGGAACUCCGAGUGUAGAGGUGAAAUUCGUAGAUAUUCGGAAGAACACCAGUGGCGAAGGCGACACACUGGCCCGUUAC